rnacentral:rRNA from 1 species
CCUACGGGUGACAGCAGUGGGGAAUAUUGCACAAUGGGGGGAACCCUGAUGCAGCGACGCCGCGUGGGUGAGGAAGUACUUCGGUAUGUAAAGCCCUAUCAGCAGGGAAGAAAAUGACGGUACCUGACCACGAAGCCCCGGCUAACUACGUGCCAGCAGCCGCGGUAAUACGUAGGGGGCAAGCGUUAUCCGGAUUUACUGGGUGUAAAGGGAGCGUAGACGGCAGGGCAAGUCUGGAGUGAAAGGCGGGGGCUCAACCCCCGGACUGCUCUGGAAACUGCCAGGCUGGAGUGCAGGAGAGGUAAAUGGAAUUCCUAGUGUAGCGGUGAAAUGCGUAGAUAUUAGGAGGAACACCAGUGGCGAAGGCGGCUUACUGGACUGUAACUGACGUUGAGGCUCGAAAGCGUGGGGAGCAAACAGGAUUAGAUACCCGGGUAGUC